rnacentral:lncRNA from 1 species
GUCCAUUCACCAAAUUUGUAUGAUCACAAAGAAAUACUACUGUUUGGUACUCAGGAACACCGUGUUCCAUUGACUUCCUAGGUUUAAAGGUCAUCUUCGUUUCUAGGAAUGGAAUCCAAGUGUGGCACUCUCGGUAGCACCAUCAGCUCUAGAAUCAGGUCUCUUCACCAUGAAAAGAAAUUGAGUUCAGCUCCAUGCGCAAUAAAAAUGAACAAAAUAUGAUUCAUAGCCCAAGGGAUUUAUGAAUGACUAGGACAGGAUAUGAAUACCAUAGGUUGGAGUGUCUAAGGAACCUCAUCUGGGACCAUUGAUGGCUACAACUGAAGAAACAUCUAAUGAGGCUGUAUUGGAAAUCUUCCCAGAAUAUCAUCCUGAAUAAAUGGGUCAUGGAAAUUUUCUAAACUGUGGCC